rnacentral:misc_RNA from 1 species
CUGAACGCCUCUAAGUCAGAAUCCAUGCCAGAACGCGGUGAUACCACCCGCACGUAUAGAUGGACAAGAAUAGGCUUCGGCUUAGCGUCUUAGCAGGCGAUUCUUCCACGGCGCUCGAAGCGCGUCGUGGUAUUUCGCGUAUUGUAAUUUCAACACGAGCGGGGUCAAAUCCUUUGCAGACGACUUAGCUGUGCGAAACGGUCCUGUAAGCAGUAGAGUAGCCUUGUUGUUACGAUCUGCUGAGGGUAAGCCGUCCUUCGCCUCGAUUUCCCCAAUGGGUUCUCCGGAUUUCUGGAGACUUGUAGGGGUUGUGGGUUUUUUCGAUGUGUCGUCUCCGGACGGGCGGUGCAGGGUAGUCGAGUUAGACUUGGUGGAAUUCGAUUCCGUCGAGUAUGGCUGGCACGAUCGUGUGCGGUUGUGUGUUGGACGGUGCAGGGUAGGCUGCUUGGACAUGGUCGGUUCGAGGAUCGAUUCGAGGGCCGGCCUGUCGAUGAUGUGUGAUGUAUGCGGUCUAGGGUAGGCUGGUUUGUCUUGGUCCAAUUUGAUGUCGGCUCCCGUGCAGGCUAGAGUGAGGGGGGUCCAGGGUAGGUACAGGGUAGGCAGCUUAGAUUUGGUCGAUCUGGAGGUCGAUUCUCCGGCUGGUGGAUCUGACCCUGUCGAAACGAGAUGCGAGCGGUGUAGGGUAGGCUAGUUUCGUCCUCGCCAGGUUGCGAUUUGGACGAGAUAUGUGGUCUAGGGUAGGCUCUAGGGUAAGUAGAAUUCGAGUUUCGUCGCCGACAGUUUUCUGUGGGUGUAUGGUAGGUACAGGGUAGGCAAAACUCUCUCCGGCCAGUACUUGUCUGGUGGUCGUGAGUCGAUUUUUUUGUUUUGCCAUACUAUUGAAUUUUGCGGAAAUUCAAAAGUGGCUCGGGAGUCCCGCCUGGCGUGCGUCCGACUCGAACAUCGUCGGUGUACAUAUGAGAGGGAGUAAUCCGGCCCGGCCGGGGCCCAUCGCGAGCUGCCGGGUAGGUAAAAGUAAAAAAGUUGUUAAGAGGCGCGGUGUCGGCGUGCUUGUAUUUGCGGGAGAGAAUUAUCUGGAGGUGCUGGGUAGCCGGGAAGACUUGGACGGAUCUGGCCCGGGAAUGGGUCUGGGCCUGGAUUCUGGUGUGGUGUAGGAUAGGCGUAGAUAGAUGAGUGGUCUAGGGUAGAUACAGGGUAGCCAGAAGUCUGGUAUAUAGUGUGGGGGGUGUAGGGGUAGGUCUGGACACCGUUUUCCACUUCGCCCUUCCCUUUACUCGAGGGAGGACGAUCUUGGCUGGGAUGGAGGUGUAGGGUAGGCUUAAUUUACGAUUACAUGAUCUGUGUCACUCUAGGGUAGGUGAAAAUCCCAUAUAUAUCUGAUCACAUUUGGAGAAGAGGUGGUUUGGCUGGUGAGAUGGACAAAAGUGCAAUGUAGAAUUAUAUGUGAUUUUGCAAAAGUGGGUGUGAAAUUGGGAAAUCGGUUUCCCCGCACAGAUGAGAGCACGUUUGAGGUGCCAUGAGAUGCACCUCUCCGAGACGACCUCAACGGUACCACCGAUGUGUUGGUCCGGCUCCUGUGCGGCCGUCCAGGGCGGGAUAUGUAGAGAAUGUGGUGGUGUAGGGUAGGUGGCCAGGUCCAGGGUAGGUUCUCCAAAUCCGUCAAUCCGGCUUGAAUCGAAGGACAGGUCUAGGGUAGGCCAGAGUCGGGUCUAGGGUAGGCAGCUCUCACCCUCGAAGUGGUCUACCCGGUAGUCAACUUCAAUCGCCUCUCACGGCCGCCACGGACCUCGCAUGACGACGGGACCACCACCAUCGGAUUUGCCUUGGUCGAAAUAGUCGGUAUAUGCACUUUUGCAAAAAUGCGUGCAAAAUGGUUUUGUGGUUUGGUGGUCGUGAGUCGAUUUUUUUGUUUUCCCAUACAAAUGAAUUUUGCGGAAAAUAAAAAGUGGCCCACGAAGCAGUUCUGGCGUGCGGCCCACUAAAACGGUCUCGGAGGGUAUAUGAGAAGGGAGCAAAUCCGGCCGAGCCUGAAAGGGUGAGGACAAACCGGGCGAGCAACCUCUCAGUAUCAGAUCUUGCAGACUUCCACUGCGUGUCCCUCUGUACAGCUUUGCAGGCUCCGGCCUCGGCAGCGGGGGGUUCAUAGUGGUCGUCGACCUCCACGAAACUGCACGCUCCGGCGUGACAGCGUACUGGGGAUGCCUGUGUAGAUGCAGUCCGGGCUUGCCUGGACCGCUAGCAGAUGGGCUCUGUGGAUGACUGGCCGCUGGCUAGACCUGAAACCUGAGCAACGGGAGGUAACCUCUCGCCGCGGACACCGGAAUGGUAGAAGCGGCGUGCUGCGUCCUCCUCUUGGGGCCCCUAAGCCACACCUCCCAUAGCGGGUUCGGUGCGGCGGACGGACGCCCUGGGGAAUUUAGAGGGGGAAAGCGGAUUGCCCUAGCGGUGUUGUUGGCCCUGCCGACCUCACUGCGAAAGGCGCGACUUCACCGUCGCCACCCAGUAACUUGUCUCUCCGGCGCUUCACGGCGCUGGUGGCCAACCCCGGCACACGAUAGUUACCUGGUUGAUUCUGCCAGUAGUCAUAUGCUUGUCUC